AAAUGAGAACUGUAUUGUUUCACUGCACUAUGGAUUUUCUUUUUACGAUUACCAGUUUCUCGUCACAUUAGGUUUUUUGAUAAGGAGAUUAUCAACAUGCAGCAGGGUACAGUUAAAUGGUUUAACGCAGACAAGGGCUUCGGCUUCAUCACUGGCCAGGACGGUAAGGAUGUAUUCGUACACUUCUCCGCUAUCCAGGGCGACGGCUACAAGACUCUUGACGAAGGUCAGGCAGUUUCCUUCGACGUAGAACAGAGCGACCGCGGUCCUCAGGCUACGAACGUUAACAAGCUGUAAUUUCUAAUUUCAGCUACCAAAAAGGGUUCCGACUUCACGGUCGGAACCCUUUU
rnacentral:other from 1 species